rnacentral:rRNA from 1 species
UACGUAGGGGGCGAGCGUUGUCCGGAUUUAUUGGGCGUAAAGAGCUCGUAGGCGGUUUGGUAAGUUGGAUGUGAAAUCUCCAGGCUCAACUUGGAGGGGUCAUUCGAUACUGCCAUGACUAGAGUUCGGUAGGGGAGUGUGGAAUUCCUGGUGGAGCGGUGAAAUGCGCAGAUAUCAGGAAGAACACCCGUGGCGAAGGCGGCUCUCUGGAACGCAACUGACGCUGAGACGCGAAAGCGUGGGGAGCAAACAGG